rnacentral:rRNA from 1 species
GAAGGUGUGCUGUGAGGCAUGCUGGAGGUAUCAGAAGUGCGAAUGCUGACAUAAGUAACGAUAAAGCGGGUGAAAAGCCCGCUCGCCGGAAGACCAAGGGUUCCUGUCCAACGUUAAUCGGGGCAGGGUGAGUCGACCCCUAAGGCGAGGCCGAAAGGCGUAGUCGAUGGGAAACAGGUUAAUAUUCCUGUACUUGGUGUUACUGCGAAGGGGGGACGGAGAAGGCUAUGUUGGCCGGGCGACGGUUGUCCCGGUUUAAGCGUGUAGGCUGGUUUUCCAGGCAAAUCCGGAAAAUCAAGGCUGAGGCGUGAUGACGAGGCACUACGGUGCUGAAGCAACAAAUGCCCUGCUUCCAGGAAAAGCCUCUAAGCAUCAGGUAACAUCAAAUCGUACCCCAAACCGACACAGGUGGUCAGGUAGAGAAUACCAAGGCGCUUGAGAGAACUCGGGUGAAGGAACUAGGCAAAAUGGUGCCGUAACUUCGGGAGAAGGCACGCUGAUAUGUAGGUAAAGUCCCUCGCGGAUGGAGCUGAAAUCAGUCGAAGAUACCAGCUGGCUGCAACUGUUUAUUAAAAACACAGCACUGUGCAAACACGAAAGUGGACGUAUACGGUGUGACGCCUGCCCGGUGCCGGAAGGUUAAUUGAUGGGGUCAGCGCAAGCGAAGCUCUUGAUCGAAGCCCCGGUAAACGGCGGCCGUAACUAUAACGGUCCUAAGGUAGCGAAAUUCCUUGUCGGGUAAGUUCCGACCUGCACGAAUGGCGUAAUGAUGGCCAGGCUGUCUCCACCCGAGACUCAGUGAAAUUGAACUCGCUGUGAAGAUGCAGUGUACCCGCGGCAAGACGGAAAGACCCCGUGAACCUUUACUAUAGCUUGACACUGAACAUUGAGCCUUGAUGUGUAGGAUAGGUGGGAGGCUUAGAAGUGUGGACGCCAGUCUGCAUGGAGCCGACCUUGAAAUACCACCCUUUAAUGUUUGAUGUUCUAACGUUGACCCGUAAUCCGGGUUGCGGACAGUGUCUGGUGGGUAGUUUGACUGGGGCGGUCUCCUCCUAAAGAGUAACGGAGGAGCACGAAGGUUGGCUAAUCCUGGUCGGACAUCAGGAGGUUAGUGCAAUGGCAUAAGCCAGCUUGACUGCGAGCGUGACGGCGCGAGCAGGUGCGAAAGCAGGUCAUAGUGAUCCGGUGGUUCUGAAUGGAAGGGCCAUCGCUCAACGGAUAAAAGGUACUCCGGGGAUAACAGGCUGAUACCGCCCAAGAGUUCAUAUCGACGGCGGUGUUUGGCACCUCGAUGUCGGCUCAUCACAUCCUGGGGCUGAAGUAGGUCCCAAGGGUAUGGCUGUUCGCCAUUUAAAGUGGUACGCGAGCUGGGUUUAGAACGUCGUGAGACAGUUCGGUCCCUAUCUGCCGUGGGCGCUGGAGAACUGAGGGGGGCUGCUCCUAGUACGAGAGGACCGGAGUGGACGCAUCACUGGUGUUCGGGUUGUCAUGCCAAUGGCACUGCCCGGUAGCUAAAUGCGGAAGAGAUAAGUGCUGAAAGCAUCUAAGCACGAAACUUGCCCCGAGAUGAGUUCUCCCUGACUCCUUGAGAGUCCUGAAGGAACGUUGAAGACGACGACGUUGAUAGGCCGGGUGUGUAAGCGCAGCGAUGCGUUGAGCUAACCGGUACUAAUGAACCGUGAGGCUUAACCUUACAACGCCGAAG